GGAAAGGAGCCACGGGUGUUGAAGAAGGCUUGAUUUCAGGCACAGACAGCUCAGGCUUGCUCCUGGCAGGAUGAAGCAGAUCCCAGAUGUGCUUUGGGGGCAUGUGGCUCGAGGUAGCUCCUGCUCUCCCACCAACAAGAGGCCCUGCUGACCCGAUCCUUUGUGACUGCCUGGACACAGUACUAUUACCCGCGCUGGGACUUUGCUUGCUCUCAAUAUACCCUCAGGAGUAUCUGCAGAUCUACAUAAAUAUAUUUAUCCGGUGCUAGGCUGUGCCAUAUCGAGCAUGACUUUCAUCCUCUGGAUCUACAGACAUCAAGAGAGAUAGGAGGAUCCCCUUCCACGUCUGCAGCUUAUGGGGUUUUCAGGGAGGAAGGAAGAAACAAGAAUGAGAAGACUAUUUCUGCAGAACAUCGAGAUAUUUCAUGAAUCACAUGCUCUUACUGUAAGUAAAAUUUUGAUAUCAGCCAUUAAAUUAGCAUGGCAGAAAGUUCUCAAGGUUAUUACAGUCUUUCUCUUCUUAAGUAAGAACUAUACUCUGCAGCAUUUAUAAUCAACCAAAUUAAAAG
rnacentral:lncRNA from 1 species